UCUGGUGACUAUACGUCCGGGGAAACACUCGUUCCCAUCCCGAACACGAUCGUGAAGACCGGACGGCCGAUGAUAGUAUUGCAAAUGCGAAAGUAGGUGAUUGCCAGAU
rnacentral:rRNA from 1 species